AGUGAACGCUGGCGGUAGGCCUAACACAUGCAAGUCGAACGGCAGCACAGUAAGAGCUUGCUCUUACGGGUGGCGAGUGGCGGAUGGGUGAGGAAUACAUAGGAAUCUACUUUUUCGUGGGGGAUAACGUAGGGAAACUUAUGCUAAUACCGCAUACGACCUACGGGUGAAAGCAGGGGAUCUUCGGACCUUGCGCGAUUGAAUGAGCCGAUGUCGGAUUAGCUAGUUGGCGAGGUAAAGGCCCACCAAGGCGACGAUCCGUAGCUGGUCUGAGAGGAUGAUCGGCCACACUGGAACUGAGACACGGUCCAGACUCCUACGGGAGGCAGCAGUGGGGAAUAUUGGACAAUGGGCGCAAGCCUGAUCCAGCCAUACCGCGUGAGUGAAGAAGGCCUUCGGAUUGUAAAGCCCUUUUGUUGGGAAAGAAAAGCAGCAGGUUAAUACCCCGCUGUUCUGACGGUACCCAAAGAAUAAGCACCGGCUAACUUCGUG
rnacentral:rRNA from 1 species